GUAGGUGGCAAGCGUUGUCCGGAAUUAUUGUGCGUAAAGCGCGCGCAGGCGGUUCUUUAAGUCUGAUGUGAAAGCCCACGGCUCAACCGUGGAGGGUCAUUGGAAACUGGAGAACUUGAGUACAGAAGAGGAAAGCGGAAUUCCACGUGUAGCGGUGAAAUGCGUAGAGAUGUGGAGGAACACCAGUGGCGAAGGCGGCUUUCUGGUCUGUAACUGACGCUGAGGCGCGAAAGCGUGGGGGAGCAAACAGGAUUAGAUACCCUGGUAGUCCACGCCGUAAACGAUGAGUGCUAAGUGUUAGGGGGUUUCCGCCCCUUAGUGCUGCAGCUAACGCAUUAAGCACUCCGCCUGGGAGUACGGCCGCAAGGCUG
rnacentral:rRNA from 1 species